rnacentral:rRNA from 1 species
CCCUUAGAUGUUCUGGGCCGCACGCGCGCUACACUGACGAAUGCAACGAGCUUAUAACCUUGGCCGAAAGGUCUGGGUAAUCUCCAAAUUUCGUCGUGAUGGGGAUAGUUUAUUGCAAUUAUUAAUCUUCAACGAGGAAUGCCUAGUAAGCGCAAGUCAUCAGCUUGCGUUGAUUACGUCCCUGCCCUUUGUACACACCGCCCGUCGCUCCUACCGAUUGAAUGGUCCGGUGAAGCGUUCGGACCGUGGCCUUUGGACGGUUCGCCGUCUGUUGGCUGCGGGAAGUUCGUUAAACCUUAUCAUUUAGAGGAAGGAGAAGUCGUANCA